rnacentral:rRNA from 1 species
GAUGAACGCUAGCGGCAGGCUUAACACAUGCAAGUCGAACGGCAAGGCUCACUUCGGUGAGUACACGAGUGGCGCACGGGUGCGUAACGCGUAUGCAACCUACCUUCUACUGAGGAAUAGCCCCGAGAAAUUGGGAUUAAUACCUCAUAAUAUUAACCUUAGGCAUCUUCGGUUAAUUAAAACUCCGGUGGUAGAAGAUGGGCAUGCGUAACAUUAGCUUGUUGGUGAGGUAACGGCUCACCAAGGCAACGAUGUUUAGGGGUUCUGAGAGGAUUAUCCCCCACACUGGUACUGAGACACGGACCAGACUCCUACGGGAGGCAGCAGUGAGGAAUAUUGGGCAAUGGACGAAAGUCUGACCCAGCCAUGCCGCGUGAAGGAUGACAGCCCUAUGGGUUGUAAACUUCUUUUAUAUGCCAAGAAACCCUCCGACGUGUCGGAGGCUGACGGUAGCAUAUGAAUAAGCAUCGGCUAACUCCGUGCCAGCAGCCGCGGUAAUACGGAGGAUGCAAGCGUUAUCCGGAUUUAUUGGGUUUAAAGGGUGCGCAGGCGGGCCUGUAAGUCAGUGGUGAAAGCCCUCGGCUCAACCGAGGAACUGCCAUUGAUACUGCAGGUCUAGAGUACAGAUGGGGUAGGCGGAAUGUAGCAUGUAGCGGUGAAAUGCUUAGAUAUGCUACAGAACACCAAUCGCGAAGGCAGCUUACCAAACUGUUACUGACGCUCAGGCACGAAAGCGUGGGGAGCGAACAGGAUUAGAUACCCUGGUAGUCCACGCCGUAAACGAUGAUUACUAGCUGUUGGCGAUAAACUGUCAGUGGCUAAGCGAAAGUGAUAAGUAAUCCACCUGGGGAGUACGAUCGCAAGGUUGAAACUCAAAGGAAUUGACGG